UGCCCUGAGGAACCCUGGGAAGGCGUCAGGCCUGGUUAGGUGCUGGUUGCGAUGGAGCCUAGGGCCAGGAGGCAACUUCGGGGAUCUGGGACCAUGGAGAACCCUUCCACAUAAAGAAGACCUACUUCUUGGAUUUGAGGUCUUGAAGUUAAUAAUGAUCUGAUUCAUUCAGAGAUGAAGAAGAUGAUGUUAACAACCAAGGGUGUCUGGAUGCUCUGGUCUUUGUACGAUCAACUCUUUUGAUUACUACAGCAGAGUGGUGAACUAGACAGCCUGGCUUUGCCUCUUACUGCCUUGGGUGAUCUUGGGGUUCAAAAGAUUCUCCUGCAUCAGCCUCC